GCCUACGGGGGGCAGCAGUAGGGAAUCUUCCACAAUGGGCGAAAGCCUGAUGGAGCAACGCCGCGUGGGUGAAGAAGGUCUUCGGAUCGUAAAACCCUGUCGUUAGAGAAGAAAGUGCGUGAGAGUAACUGUUCACGUUUCGACGGUAUCUAACCAGAAAGCCACGGCUAACUACGUGCCAGCAGCCGCGGUAAUACGUAGGUGGCAAGCGUUAUCCGGAUUUAUUGGGCGUAAAGGGAACGCAGGCGGUCUUUUAAGUCUGAUGUGAAAGCCUUCGGCUUAACCGGAGUAGUGCAUUGGAAACU
rnacentral:rRNA from 1 species